GACGAACGCUGGCGGCGUGCCUAACACAUGCAAGUCGAAGAUAGUGGCGAACGGGUGAGUAAUACGUGGGUUACCUGCCCUCCUUUUCGGGAUAAGCCUUGGAAACGGGGUCUAAUAUAGAAUAAAGGGGGAUGGGCUCGUGGCCUAUCAGCUUGUUGGUGGGGUGAUGGGCUACCGAGGGGGUGACGGGUAGACAGCCUGAGAGGGGGACCGGAGACGGUGGGACGGAGGAUCGGCCCAGACGAGUCCGGUAGGCAGAAUUGGGGGAUAGUGAACAAUGGGCGAUAGCCCGAUGCAGCGUCGCUGAGUAGGGGAUGAAGGCUUUAGUGUUGUAAAGCUCUUGAGGUAUCGAACGGGUAGGUGGACAGAAAGCGCCGGCUAACUACGUGCCAGCAGCCGCGGUAAUAC
rnacentral:rRNA from 1 species